ensembl:lncRNA
UCUCUUGAUUUGUUUUAUAUUCUUUUCCUUAUUCCAGCAAGCUGGGAAGAGCUGGGACACAGAACCUACAUUGAUUCCAGAACCAACACAAGCUCCAGUGUGACACCCUACAGAACCUCUACUGUGUCUGGAACUGACACCAGCUCCAGUGUGACACCCUACAGAACCUCUACUGUGUCUGGAACAGACACAGCCUCCAGUGUGUCACCCUACAGGACCUAUACUUUGUCUGGAAUUGGCACAACAUCCAGAGUGAUGCCCCGAGGAACCUAUACUGUUUCUGGCAGUGAUGUGCCCUCCAGUGUGUCCCCUUACAGGAUCUAUACUGUGUCUGAGAGUGAUGUACCCUCCAGUGUGACACCCUACAGGACCUAUACUGUGUCUGGAAGUGAUGUACCCUCCAGUGUGACACCCUACAGAACCUAUACUGUGUCUGAGAGUGAUGUACCCUCCAGUGUGACACCCUACAGGACCUAUACUGUGUCUGAGAGUGAUGUGCCCUCCAGUGUGACACCCUACAGGACCUAUACUGUGUCUGGCAGUGAUGUGCCCUCCAGUGUGACACCCUACAGGACCUAUACUGUGUCUGGAAGUGAUGUACCCUCCAGUGUGACACCCUACAGGACCUAUACUGUGUCUGGCAGUGAUAUGCCCUCCAGUGUGACACCCUACAGGACCUAUACUGUGUCUAAGAGUGAUGUACCCUCAAGUGUGACACCCUACAUAACCCACACUGUGUCUGGAAGCGACGUAUCCUCCGAAUCUUUUCGGCUUCCCUUUGUACCUCAAGGAACCAGUACACCUCGUGGUCCUGCUCCUGUUGCAAGCUGGGGAGAGCUGGGACACAGAACCUACAUUGAUUCUAGAACCAACACCAGCUCCAGUGUGACACCCUACAGAACCUCUACUGUGUCUGGAAGUGACACCAGCUCCAGUGUGACACCCUACAGAACCUCUACUGUGUCUGGAACAGACACAGCCUCCAGUGUGUCACCCUACAGGACCUAUACUUUGUCUGGAAUUGGCACAACAUCCAGUGUGAUGCCCCGAGGAACCUAUACUGUUUCUGGCAGUGAUGUGCCUUCCAGUGUGUACCCUUACAGGACCUAUACUGUGUCUGAGAGUGAUGUGCCCUCCAGUGUGACACCCUACAGGACCUAUACUGUGUCUGGAAGUGAUGUACCCUCCAGUGUGACACCCUACAGGACCUAUACUGUGUCUGGAAGUGAUGUACCCUCCAGUGUGACACCCUACAGGACCUAUACUGUGUCUGAGAGUGAUGUGCCCUCCAGUGUGACACCCUACAGGACCUAUACUGUGUCUGGAAGUGAUGUACCCUCCAGUGUGACACCCUACAGGACCUAUACUGUGUCUGAGAGUGAUGUGCCCUCCAGUGUGACACCCUACAGGACCUAUACUGUGUCUGGCAGUGAUGUGCCCUCCAGUGUGACACCCUACAGGACCUAUACUGUGUCUGGAAGUGAUGUACCCUCCAGUGUGACACCCUACAGGACCAAUACUGUGUCUGGCAGUGAUAUGCCCUCCAGUGUGACACCCUACAGGACCUAUACUGUGUCUAAGAGUGAUGUACCCUCAAGUGUGACACCCUACAUAACCCACACUGUGUCUGGAAGCGACGUAUCCUCCGAAUCUUUUCGGCUUCCCUUUGUACCUCAAGGAACCAGUACACCUCGUGGUCCUGCUCCUGUUGGUAAGUCUGCUUUUGAAGCAAUUGCACUCACUUGGAU